UAGUCAGAAGAAGAGGUGACAUGCCAUGUGAGCGCACAGCUGUGACCACUCUUCCCAUCGUUGAUAUUUGAUAAAAUAAUUAAACACCUUCAUCCAUCUUCUCUUCUCCUCUCUUCUCUCUCUAGAGCUCCCACUUCCUCUCUAAUGGUGGAACCAAAACCCUAGAUCCCUCUUUCCUUAGUCUCAAACUUCCACAACUUAUCUCUCAAAAUCAUGAGAAUGAAAACUUUCCCAACCUUCUUUCUCUUCCUUCUAACCUUAUCCUUCUCCUCUCAAGCUUCCACAUCUCAAACUCACCAGCUUUUAAGUUUCAAAAACGCUCUUCCUGACAAGAAUCUACUCCCAGACUGGUCUCCCGACAAGAACCCAUGUACCUUCGAGGGCGUGACUUGCAAAGCCGACAAGAUUUCCUCAAUUGAUCUCAGUUCCAAGCCACUCAACCUCGGAUUCAGCGCCGUGGCUUCCUCUCUACUGUCUCUCACGGGACUAGAGUCCCUGUUUCUCUCGAACACCAACAUCAACGGCUCCGUCUCUGGUACCAAGUGCUCUGCUUCUCUCACGACCUUGGAUCUGUCGAGAAACUCCAUCUCCGGUCCUGUGUCAACCUUGUCGAGCCUCGGCUCUUGCAUCGCACUGAAGUCUCUUAACAUGUCUUCCAACUCUCUGGAAUUUCCCGGGAAAAUCUCAGGUGGUGGGUUGAAGCUUAGCAGCAGCAGCUUGGAAGUUCUGGAUCUCUCCAAGAACUUGCUAUCCGGUGCUAACCUCGUUGGCUGGAUUGUCUCCGGUGGCUGUGGAGAGCUCAAGCACUUGGAUAUAAGCGGGAACAAGAUCAGUGGAGAUGCGGAUGUCUCUCCUUGCGUGAAUCUCGAGUUUCUCGAUCUCUCCUCCAACAAUUUCUCCACUGUGAUUCCCUAUCUAGGUGACUGCUCCGCUCUUCAACACCUCGACAUCUCCGGUAACAAGUUAUCCGGUGACUUCUCCAGCGCUAUCUCCUCCUGCACAAACCUAAGGUCUUUGAACAUCUCUUGCAACUUAUUCACCGGACCCAUCUCUUCUUCACUACCGCUCAAAAGCCUCGAGUAUCUAUCUCUAACAGAUAACAAAUUCACCGGCGAGAUCCCGGAGCUUCUCUCCGGCGCGUGCGGUACACUCACCGGACUCGAUCUCUCCCGAAACGACUUUCACGGCACGGUUCCUCCUUUCUUCGCCUCCUGCUCUCUUCUCGAGUCGCUCGUUUUAUCCACCAACAACUUCUCCGGCGAGCUGCCUAUGGAUACUCUGCUGAAGAUGAGAGGGCUCAAGGUGCUCGACCUGUCGUUCAACAAGCUCUCCGGCGAGCUGCCUGAGUCUCUGGCCAAUCUCUCACUCACUACGCUGGACCUCAGCUCCAACAACUUCUCCGGUCAGAUUCUCCCGAGUCUCUGCCGUAACGGUGAAAACACGCUCCAGGAGCUUUACCUCCAGAACAAUGCCUUCACCGGGAAGAUUCCGCCGACGUUAAGCAACUGCUCCGACUUAGUUUCCCUCCACCUGAGCUUCAACUACCUCUCCGGGACCAUCCCGUCGAGUCUCGGCUCUCUAACGAAGCUCCGAGAUUUGAAGCUGUGGAUGAACAUGCUUCAAGGAGAGAUCCCUAAAGAGCUCAUGUAUCUCACCACCUUAGAGACUCUGAUCCUCGACUUCAACGACUUAACCGGAGAAAUCCCUUUCGGUUUAAGCAACUGUACCAAUCUGAAUUGGAUUUCUCUUUCCAAUAACCGGUUAACCGGUCAGAUUCCUAGAUGGAUCGGACGGUUAGAGAAUCUCGCCAUCCUCAAGCUAAGCAACAAUACUUUCAACGGUAACAUUCCUGCUGAGCUGGGGGACUGCCGGAGCCUAAUCUGGCUCGAUCUCAACACUAAUUAUUUCAACGGCACGAUCCCUCCGGAGAUGUUCAAACAGUCCGGUAAAAUAGCUGCGAAUUUCAUCGCCGGGAAGAGAUACGUUUACAUAAAAAACGACGGGAUGAACAAACAGUGCCACGGAGCUGGUAACUUGCUUGAGUUCCAAGGAAUCAGACCGGAGCAGCUUAACCGGGUUUCGACCCGGAACCCGUGUAAUUUCACGAGAGUUUACGGAGGUCAUACUCAGCCGACGUUUGAUAACAACGGCUCGAUGAUGUUCUUGGACAUGUCUUACAACAUGUUGUCUGGGUACAUACCGAAGGAGAUCGGUUCGAUGCCGUAUCUGUUUAUUCUCAACUUGGGUCAUAACUUCAUCUCUGGCUCUAUCCCUGAAGAGGUUGGUGAUCUGAGAGGGCUGAACAUUCUCGAUCUUUCGAGUAAUAAGCUGGACGGGAGGAUCCCUCAGUCCAUGUCGGCUCUUACCAUGCUUACGGAGAUUGAUCUGUCCAACAAUUUGUUAACCGGUCCGAUUCCUGAGAUGGGGCAGUUCGAGACUUUCCCGCCCGGGAAGUUCUUGAACAACUCUGGUCUCUGCGGUUAUCCGCUUCCGCGGUGCGGUGAUGCAAAGGCAGACGCGAUUGCACACCGUUCUCACGGAAGGAAACAGCCGUCUCUUGCGGGGAGCGUGGCGAUGGGUUUAUUGUUCUCUUUUGUAUGCAUAUGUGGGCUGAUACUCUUCGGUAGAGAGAUGAGGAGGCGGCGGAGGAUGAGAGAGGCGGCGAUGGAAGACUCCGGUGAUGGAACGACAGCUAACAACAACACGGAUUGGAGGCUGACUGGUGCGAGAGAAGCGUUGAGUAUUAAUCUCGCAGCGUUCGAGAAGCCGCUGCGGAAACUCACGUUCGCGGAUCUUCUCAAGGCUACAAACGGGUUCCAUGAGAACAGUAUGAUUGGAUCCGGCGGGUUUGGAGAUGUCUACAAAGCGGUUUUGAAAGAUGGAACAGCCGUGGCUAUCAAGAAACUGAUCCAGAUCAGUGGUCAAGGCGAUAGGGAGUUCAUGGCGGAGAUGGAAACGAUCGGGAAGAUCAAACACCGGAACCUCGUCCCGCUUCUGGGCUACUGCAAAGUCGGAGAAGAGCGGCUUCUCGUCUACGAGUUCAUGAAGUACGGUAGCUUAGAAGAUGUACUGCACGACCCCAAGAAGAAAGCUGGCUUGAAACUGAACUGGUUCACGCGGCAGAAGAUCGCCAUCGGAGCGGCUAGAGGGCUUGCCUUUCUUCACCAUAACUGCAUCCCACAUAUCAUCCACAGAGACAUGAAGUCGAGCAACGUGUUGCUGGACGAGAACUUGGAAGCUAGGGUUUCGGAUUUUGGCAUGGCGCGGCUGAUGAGCGCCAUGGACACGCAUUUGAGUGUCAGUACGUUAGCCGGUACGCCGGGCUAUGUCCCUCCUGAGUAUUACCAAAGUUUCAGGUGUUCAACGAAAGGAGACGUUUAUAGUUACGGUGUGGUCUUGCUCGAGCUGCUUACGGGUAGACGGCCAACGGAUUCGCCGGAUUUUGGAGAUAAUAACCUUGUUGGAUGGGUGAGACAGCAUGCUAAACUCCAGAUUAAGGACGUGUUCGAUCCUCAGCUUAUCAAGGAAGAUCCAGCGAGAGAGAUUGAACUUUUACAACACUUGAAAAUUGCGGUUGCGUGUUUGGAUGAUAGGGCUUGGAGAAGACCGAGCAUGUUAGAUGUCAUGGCAAUGUUUAAGGAGAUACAGACGGGGUUGGGGAUAGAUUCACAGUCCACCAUUGGAUCAUUAGAGAUGGUCGAUAUGAGUAUUAAAGAAGUUCCUGAAGGAAAGUUUUGAGAGUUGGGACACAGCCAAAGCUGAUUCUUUAGAACAUCAAUCAUCCAAGGGAGAAGCCAGAUGUAAGUAACCAAAGAGGAUGAAGGAACAGAAGAAGACAAUGAGACGAAGAUGGCACAGAUGGUUUGCUCUUUGACAAACCGUGAGGACUGUCUCUCUUGUGGAAGUUAAAACAUUAACAGUAGAGAAGAAACAAUAAAGUCGAUCAAAAAAGCGUCUCAUUUACAUUUGUGUCUGUUGAUUUGUGCAGUGUUAAGUACAAUAUAACGUAAUCUAGUUUCUAGGAGUAUAAGAUUGUCUUGUUAUUCGUGUGUGAAAGUUUAACAAGCUCUUUUAAAACUAUGUAAUAGUAAUAAACUCUCAAGGUUUUUUUUUAUAAAAUUCCUUUGUUAAGAA